AAACCUGUAAACUAUCCAUCUCUAGAAUUAUAGAAUGGAAAGCAAACUUCUUAAGCCAGCUAAGGGCUUCCCUAACUCCAAUCGCUUCAGCCUCUCUAGCUUCAAAACUUCCCAGAAAAAUGUUGCUUUUUGCCGCAAUGAAGUCACCCUGAUCAGACCGGAUGACAGCCCCCAGACUAAUCAUUCCCCUUAAGCUAGC
rnacentral:lncRNA from 1 species